rnacentral:rRNA from 1 species
GACGAACGCUGGCGGCGUGCUUAACACAUGCAAGUCGAACGGAAAGGCCCUGCUUGCAGGGUACUCGAGUGGCGAACGGGUGAGUAACACGUGGGUGAUCUGCCCUGCACUUCGGGAUAAGCCUGGGAAACUGGGUCUAAUACCGGAUAGGAGCCAUUUUUAGUGUGAUGGUUGGAAAGUUUUUUCGGUGUAGGAUGAGCUCGCGGCCUAUCAGCUUGUUGGUGGGGUAAUGGCCUACCAAGGCGGCGACGGGUAGCCGGCCUGAGAGGGUGGACGGCCACAUUGGGACUGAGAUACGGCCCAGACUCCUACGGGAGGCAGCAGUGGGGAAUAUUGCACAAUGGGCGCAAGCCUGAUGCAGCGAGGCCGCGUGGGGGAUGACGGCCUUCAGGUUGUAAACUCCUUUCGCUAGGGACGAAGCUUUUUGUGACGGUACCUAGAGAAGAAGCACCGGCUAACUACGUG